rnacentral:rRNA from 1 species
AACGAACGCUGGCGGCAUGCCUAACACAUGCAAGUCGAACGAAGGCUUCGGCCUUAGUGGCGCACGGGUGCGUAACGCGUGGGAAUCUGCCCUUUGGUUCGGAAUAACAGCUGGAAACGGCUGCUAAUACCGGAUGAUGACGAAAGUCCAAAGAUUUAUCGCCAGAGGAUGAGCCCGCGUUGGAUUAGGUAGUUGGUGGGGUAAAGGCCUACCAAGCCGACGAUCCAUAGCUGGUCUGAGAGGAUGAUCAGCCACACUGGGACUGAGACACGGCCCAGACUCCUACGGGAGGCAGCAGUGGGGAAUAUUGGACAAUGGGCGCAAGCCUGAUCCAGCAAUGCCGCGUGAGUGAUGAAGGCCCUAGGGUUGUAAAGCUCUUUUACCCAGGAAGAUAAUGACUGUACCGGGAGAAUAAGCCCCGGCUAACUCCGUG